GUAGGUGGCAAGCGUUGUCCGGAAUUAUUGGGCGUAAAGCGCGCGCAGGCGGUUCUUUAAGUCUGAUGUGAAAGCCCACGGCUCAACCGUGGAGGGUCAUUGGAAACUGGAGAACUUGAGUGCAGAAGAGGAAAGCGGAAUUCCACGUGUAGCGGUGAAAUGCGUAGAGAUGUGGAGGAACACCAAUGACGAAGGCGGCUUUCUGGUCUGUAACUGACGCUGAGGCGCGAAAGCGUGGGGAGCAAACAGGAUUAGAUACCCUGGUAGUCCACGCCGUAAACGAUGAGUGCUAAGUGUUAGGGGGUUUCCGCCCCCCUUAGUGCUGCAGCUAACGCAUUAAGCACUCCGCCUGGGAGUACGGCCGCAAGGCUG
rnacentral:rRNA from 1 species